UACGUAGGGGGCAAGCGUUGUCCGGAUUUAUUGGGCGUAAAGCGCUCGCAGGUGGUCCGAUGCGUCGUGCGUGAAAGCCCCCGGCUCAACUGGGGAGGGUCAUUCGAUACUGUUCGACUUGAAGGCAGGAGAGGGAAGUGGAAUUCCGGGUGUAGUGGUGAAAUGCGUAGAUAUCCGGAGGAACACCAGUGGCGAAGGCGACUUUCUGGCCUGUUCUUGACGCUGAGGCGCGAAAGCUAGGGGAGCAAACGGG
rnacentral:rRNA from 1 species